GAUGAAGAACGUAGUGAAAUGCGAUAAGUAAUGUGAAUUGCAGAAUUCAGUGAAUCAUCGAAUCUUUGAACGCACCUUGCGCUCCUUGGUAUUCAGAGGAGCAUGCCUGUUUGAGUGUCAUUAAAUUCUCAACCUUAUUAGCUUUUGCUGAUAAUGGCUUGGACUUGGGGGUCUUUUUGCUGGCUUUCAUUAGUCUGCUCCCCUUAAAUGUAUUAGCCGGUGCCCCGCAGUGGAACCGUCUAUUGGUGUGAUAAUUAUCUACGCCGUGGACGUCUGCUAUAAUGGGUUUGCGCUGCUUCUAACCGUCUCUCGGGACAACACAAAUGACAAUUUGACCUCAAAUCAGGUAGGACUACCCGCUGAACUUAAGCAUAUCAAUAAGCGGAGGA
rnacentral:misc_RNA from 1 species